AGUGAACGCUGGCGGUAGGCCUAACACAUGCAAGUCGAACGGCAGCACAGUAAGAGCUUGCUCUUACGGGUGGCGAGUGGCGGACGGGCGAGGAAUACAUCGGAAUCUACUUUUUCGUGGGGGAUAACGUAGGGAAACUUACGCUAAUACCGCAUACGACCUACGGGUGAAAGCAGGGGAUCUUCGGACCUUGCGCGAUUGAAUGAGCCAAUGUCGGAUUAGCUAGUUGGCGGGGUAAAGGCCCACCAAGGCGACGAUCCGUAGCUGGUCUGAGAGGAUGAUCAGCCACACUGGAACUGAGACACGGUCCAGACUCCUACGGGAGGCAGCAGUGGGGAAUAUUGGACAAUGGGCGCAAGCCUGAUCCAGCCAUACCGCGUGGGUGAAGAAGGCCUUCGGGUUGUAAAGCCCUUUUGUUGGGAAAGAAAAGCAGCAGGUUAAUACCCCGCUGUUCUGACGGUACCCAAAGAAUAAGCACCGGCUAACUUCGUG
rnacentral:rRNA from 1 species